UAUUAUCUAUAAGGCUAUAGACCAGGCUACUCUUUAUAGCUAAGACCUUGCGAUCUGUAGGGCAGAUGAUGUAAAGGUCAUCUGUCUCUUUUGCCCACAGUUAAUGAGGGUGUCAUGUGGCCAGCACGAUGACCAACCACCUUUAGGUUUUCCCAACUAAUAUCAGAUAUCCAUUAUAGCUGGCUGACUCAGAGGUGCCCAAAGAUCUCAAAAUUAAAAAUCCCAGGAUUAGACUAGGACCUCCAGUUCAGAAGCGUAGCGCUUUACUGCUCAGCCACUGCUCCGCCAACAACAAUGCAUUAGUUAGGCAAUUUGAUGAAACUUUAAAGUGAUUCUAAUAAAACCUAGAUUGUCGAAAAGAACUUAAAAAAGAUUUUCAACCACUGCAAAUAGUAAUGGUAAUAUUAAUUUUUUAAAUGUCCAAAAAUGUAGUGAAAGUCUGGUUGUUCUAAUUAGCUAAUUUUAUGCUUCCUUAAGCAAUCAUGAUAAAAAAUGUACAUCAGUCUUUUCAUUUCAAGGAGGAAAAUGUGGAAAACUGAAGAUUUUCCCCGUGGCAAGACUCCAAUCAAGAAAAAUGUUCAAGGAUUAAUUGAAUCUAAGUCUAAAGAGCCAAAGUUUGAGAAAUCUCCCAAGGAAUCAGUUGGUGAAAUUAAAAAGUCACAAAAGAGAAAGAGUUUACAUAUUUCAACUCAACCAACAAAAAAAAACGCAGAAUAAGUGGAAACCAAAAAGUGUUCAAAACACCUUUACAGGAUGAUAUUAGUACAGGCCUUCGUGUUAUGGGCUGUGUUAGGCAAGUCUUUGAUCAUUCAAUAUAUGUGUCAUUACCUGGCAAUGUUGUGGGCACUUUGCCCAUUACAGAACUGUCUGAAUGUUACACACAUCUGAAUAAACUUGUUGACUGUGAGGAGAAGUAUCUAUCAGAGGACAUCAGAUCACCUGAUGAACUUUUUAAACCAGGCAUGUUGGUUCCUGUGC